UUAGUGCUGCAGCAAACGCAUUAAGCACUCCGCCUGGGGAGUACGGCCGCAAGGCUGAAAUUCAAAGGAAUUGACGGGGGCCCGCACAAGCGGUGGAGCAUGUGUUUAAUUCGAAGCAACGCGAAGAACCUUACCAGGUCUUGACAUCUCCUGACAAUCCUAGAGAUAGGACGUUCCCCUUCGGGGGACAGGAUGACAGGUGGUGCAUGGUUGUCGUCAGCUCGUGUCGUGAGAUGUUGGGUUAAGUCCCGCAACGAGCGCAACCCUUGAUCUUAGUUGCCAGCAUUUAGUUGGGCACUCUAAGGUGACUGCCGGUGACAAACCGGAGGAAGGUGGGGAUGACGUCAAAUCAUCAUGCCCCUUAUGACCUGGGCUACACACGUGCUACAAUGGAUGGUACAAAGGGCAGCAAAACCGCGAGGUCGAGCCAAUCCCAUAAAACCAUUCUCAGUUCGGAUUGUAGGCUGCAACUCGCCUACAUGAAGCUGGAAUCGCUAGUAAUCGCGGAUCAGCAUGCCGCGGUGAAUACGUUCCCGGGCCUUGUACACACCGCCCGUCACNCCACGAGAGUUUGUAACACCCGAAGUCGGUGGGGUAACCUUUUAGGAGCCAGCCGCCUAAGGUGGGAUAGAUGAUUGGGGU
rnacentral:rRNA from 1 species